ensembl:lncRNA LINC02405 long intergenic non-protein coding RNA 2405
AGAAACGGCAGAACUAAAAGAGCACCGUAACACCUCCUCUUGGGCUUCAGGGCCACAGGCAUCCCCACCUAGGUGCCACCACAGGCCCUGCAGGACCAGCCAGCUGGACCCUGCACUUGCUCGCUCACGUGCUGCCUCCUGCAAGGGGGUGAGUGUGGCAGGCCAGCUAAACCACACAUCCCUGUCACGGGUCCAGCAAAAAGGCCGAAGAUAUUUUUGUAUUAUUAUGACCACCUGCUAAAACUGAAAGUUGCAGAAUUCACUAUGAAAUGAACUGAGACUACCAUACACCUAAGAAGUCAAAGUUGCUAUUCAAGGGGAAGUGCAAACACAAGAUGAGGGAAACUGAUGUAUUUAGUGUCUACAUUUUACAAAUGGAUGCUUUUCAUAAUAUGAAAAUACUGCACCAUAAGAUUGCCAGUCACAACAGCACGGCUACAGUGAAAAUGAUCCCAGUGGAUUUGUUACGGUGAGAAAGCUUCACUUGGAGACAAAGCCAAAACCUUCCUCCCAGGCUCCCUUGGAUGUAGGGGGAAGCAAACUGGCUGUCCAGGCCUCUGAGCCACAUCUACACACCUCAUGAGAGGGCCUGUGCAACAUUGCCUUAGAGAUGGAGAGCAUUGCUUCAGAAUCAGGGAAGCCUAAAUUUCACCCCUGGGGCUGCCCCUUGUGAUCUUGAAUGGCUCCUGACAAGAGGCUGCUGGGGAGGCUCCUGCUCCCUGCCUUUCGGGACUGCCGUGGAUUGCCCAUUGAUGGGUCAAAAUCCAGCUACCUGGUAAUUCAAUGAGUCCCUAGUGUGCAUCCAAUAAAUUAUCUUCUGUUUAAAUUAGAACAAACUGUUUUUAAUCUGUGUGCUAAGAAUCUCAUUAAAUGCAUCAUAAAUUUCAAAAUCAAAAACUAAAUAAAACAUUUAUCUAUCGAGUACUAAAA